rnacentral:rRNA from 1 species
CUUUUGAUUAUAAUUUAAGGUCUGACCUGCCCACUGAGUUUUUAAAUGGCCGCGGUAUCUUGACCGUGCAAAGGUAGCAUAAUCAUUAGUUUUUUAAUUGSMAGCUGGAAUGAAAGGUUUGAUGAGAAAAUAACUGUCUCUAUUUAAUUUUUUUAAAAAUUUAUUUUUAAGUUAAAAAGCUUAAAUUUGGUUUGAAGACGAGAAGACCCUAUAGAGUUUAAUUUUUAAGAUUUAAAAUUUABUAGUAUUUAGUUAGUBUUAUVUUCUAAAAAAUUUAGUUGGGGUGAUUGAAAAAUUUAAUAAACUUUUUUUAUAUAUAAACAUUUAUUUAUGAAUAUUUGAUCCUUUUAUAAAGAUUAAAAGAUAAAAUUACCUUAGGGAUAACAGCGUAAUUUUUUUUGAGAGUUCUAAUCGAAAAAAAAGGUUGCSACCUCGAUGUUGGAUYAAAAUAAAAUUUUGGUGUAGAAGCUAAA